AUCGCCUCUUGGCCGAGGCCUUGGGAGGCCACUGCUCCUCAGGUCUUUUGUGGGGAGGCCUGACAUUGAAACCGGAGCAAAACCCCCAGACGGCUGUGAGAGGAGGAGCCCGCGCCCUGCGCCACUUGAACGCUGCUCAUGUCGGGGGAACCAAACGCUCGUUAUCCGGAUGCAGAGACAACGGGCUCAGCAAGGAUGGGGCUGAUCUCUGUCGGGGAAGACACCGGCUGGGGCGCGACUGCCCACCAGGAGCUGCCCUCUGAUGGAGGUUUCAGCUCCAGGCCACCCUUUGUGGUGACUGGAGUUUGCCAGGCCCCCACGCAGGCCUUCUCCGUGUUUUUGAGAAAUGUCACCGGGGUCCUUUCUAAGCAUGAAAAUGGCAGGUGCGGUGUGCAUUGGAGCUGUUUUCUCCAGGACAUACCGCAGAAAGUGAGAGCAGAACGGCGGAGAGACGUGGACUUGUCUCUCCUACUGCACUCCCCGGCCUGGGCCCAGGCCGGUUCCUCAGCUCCUCUUGGG